GAAAUGCGAUAAGUAGUGUGAAUUGCAGAAUUCAGUGAAUCAUCGAAUCUUUGAACGCACAUUGCGCCCUUUGGUAUUCCUUAGGGCAUGCCUGUUCGAGCGUCAUUUAAACCUUCAAGCUCAGCUUGGUGAUGGGUGACUGUCCUCCCCUCGCGGGGGGGACUCGCCUCAAAAACAUUGGCGGCCGGUACAUUGGCUUCGAGCGCAGCAGAAACGCGGUCUCGAGUCCGGUGGAUCGGCUCCCAUAAGCCUUCUUUUUUAUUUUGACCUCGGAUCAGGUAGGGAUACCCGCUGAACUUAAGC
rnacentral:misc_RNA from 1 species